rnacentral:rRNA from 1 species
GAUGAACGCUGGCGGCGUGCCUAAUACAUGCAAGUCGAGCGAACAGAUAAGGCGCUUGCUCCUUUGACGUUAGCGGCGGACGGGUGAGUAACACGUGGAUAACCUACCUAUAAGACUGGGAUAACUUCGGGAAACCGGAGCUAAUACCGGAUAACAUCUUGAACCGCAUGGUUCAAUAGUGAAAGGCGGCUUUGCUGUCACUUAUCGAUGGAUCCGCGCCGUAUUAGCUAGUUGGUAAGGUAACGGCUUACCAAGGCAACGAUACGUAGCCGACCUGAGAGGGUGAUCGGCCACACUGGAACUGAGACACGGUCCAGACUCCUACGGGAGGCAGCAGUAGGGAAUCUUCCGCAAUGGGCGAAAGCCUGACGGAGCAACGCCGCGUGAGUGAUGAAGGUCUUCGGAUCGUAAAACUCUGUUAUCAGGGAAGAACAAAUGUGUAAGUAACUGUGCACAUCUUGACGGUACCUGAUCAGAAAGCCACGGCUAACUACGUG